GGCUCAGGAUGAACGCUAGCGGCAGGCUUAACACAUGCAAGUCGAGGGGCAUCGGGAGUAGCAAUACUGCCGGCGACCGGCGCAAGGGUGCGUAACGCGUGAGCAACAUGCCCGUAUCAGGGGGAUAAUCCAUGGAAACGUGGUCUAAUACCCCAUAGUAAUUAUGUAAGGCAUCUUAUAUAAUUUAAAGCUUUGGUGGAUACGGAUUGGCUCGCGUGACAUUAGCUAGAUGGUAAGGUAACGGCUUACCAUGGCUACGAUGUCUAGGGGUUCUGAGAGGAAGGUCCCCCACACUGGAACUGAGACACGGUCCAGACUCCUACGGGAGGCAGCAGUGAGGAAUAUUGGACAAUGGAUGGAAAUCUGAUCCGGCCAUGCCGCGUGCAAGGAAGACGGCCCUAUGGGUUGUAAACUGCUUUUGUAUGGGAGCAAUAAGGGCUACGUGUAGUCCGAUGAGAGUACCAUACGAAUAAGCACCGGCUAACUCCGUGCCAGCAGCUGC
rnacentral:rRNA from 1 species